GGCGAACGGGUGAGUAACACGUGGGCAACCUGCCCUUGGGAGCGGGACAACCCGGGGAAACUCGGGCUAAUACCGCAUGUCCCCCUUGGUCAUAAGACUUUGGGGAAAAGGUAGCUUCGGCCUCCGCCCUUGGAUGGGCCUGCGUCGCAUUAGCUUGUUGGUGGGGUAACGGCCUACCAAGGCAACGAUGCGUAGCUGGUCUGAGAGGACGAUCAGCCACACUGGGACUGAGACACGGCCCAGACUCCUACGGGAGGCAGCAGUGGGGAAUCUUGCGCAAUGGGCGAAAGCCUGACGCAGCAACGCCGCGUGCGGGAAGACGGCCUUAGGGUUGUAAACCGCUUUCAGGGGGGACGAAGCUUCCGAGGUUAAUAGCCUACGGGGUGACGGUACCCCCAGAAGAAGCCCCGGCUAACUACGUGCCAGCAGCCGCGGUAAUACGUAGGGGGCGAGCGUUGUCCGGAAUCAUUGGGCGUAAAGCGCGUGUAGGCGGCUUGGCAAGUCUGGUGUGAAAUCUUGGGGCUCAACCCAAGCGUGCACUGGAAACUGCCUCGCUAGAGU
rnacentral:rRNA from 1 species